UACGUAGGGGGCAAGCGUUGUCCGGAUUUAUUGGGCGUAAAGAGCGUGUAGGCGGCCUGACAGGUCUGCUGUGAAAACUCGAGGCUCAACCUCGAGAUGUCGGCGGAAACCGUCUGGCUAGAGUCCGGAAGAGGAGAGUGGAAUUCCUGGUGUAGCGGUGAAAUGCGCAGAUAUCGGGAGGAACACCAGUAGCGAAGGCGGCACUCUGGGCCGGGUACUGACGCUGAGGAGCGAAAGCGUGGGGAGCGAACAGG
rnacentral:rRNA from 1 species